CGGGUAGUGAGGGGCUUAGCACCCGGGCCAGCAGCUGCGGAGGGUGUGCCCAGUCUCCCAGCAAUGCCGGCUCACCGGCGCUACCUUCGAAUUCUCGCCAGGCCUCAGCUGCCUCCCAGCGGGGUGGGACUCGGACCCGCAGCCAGCCAUGCCUGAGCCUCCCCACCACCCACCCGUGGGCUCCUGCGCUGCCCGAGCCUCCCUGACGAGUGCCGCCCCCUGCUCCACAGCACCCGGUCCCAUUUACCGCCCAAGGGCUGAGGAGUGCGGGCUCACAGCCCGGGACUGGCAGGCAGCUCCACCUGUGGCCCCAGUGCCGGCUCCACUGGGGGAAGCCAGCUGGGCUCCUGAGUCUAGAGGAGACUUGGAGAACCUUUAUGUCUAGCUAAGGGAUUGUGAACACACCAAUCAGCACCCUGUGUCUAGCUCAGGGUUUGUGGAUGCACCAAUGGGCACUCUGUAUCUAGCUAAUCUGAUGGGGACUUGGAGAAUCUUUAUGUCUAGCUAAGGGAUUGUGAAUACACCAAUCAGCACUCUGUAUCUAACUCAUGGUUUGUAAAUGCACCAAUCAACACUCUGUAUCUAGCUCAGGGUUUGUAAAUACACCAAUUAGCACUCUGUAUCUAACUAAUCUAGUGGGGACUUGGAGAACUUUUGUGUGUAGCUCAGGGAUUGUAAACGCACCAAUCAGCACCCUGUCAAAAUGGACCAAUCAGCUCUGAAAAACAGGCCAAUUGGCUCUCUGUAAAAUGGACCAAUCAGCAGGAUGUGGAUGGGGCCAGAUAAGAGAAUAAAAGCAGGCUGCCUCAGCCACCAGCGGUAACCCGCUUGGAUACUUUUGCAGCGUGUGGUGGUUUUGUUUUCUCGCAGUUUGCAAUAAAUCUUGCUGCUGCUGACUCUUUGGGUCCACAUUGCUUUUAUGAGUUGUAACACUCACCGCGAAGGUGUGCAGUUUCUCUCCUGAGGCCGUGGAGACCACGCACCCACAGGGAGGAGUAAACAAAUCCAGCCGAGCUGUCUUAAGAGCUGUAACACUCACCGCCAAAGUCUGCAGCUUCACGCCAGCAGCCAGUGAGACCACGAACCCACCAGAAGGAAGAAACUCCCAACACAUCCGAACCUCAGAAGGAACAAACUCUGGACACACUGACUUUAAGAACUGUUAACACACCGCGAGUGUCUGCGGCUUCGUUCUUGAUGUCAGUGAGACCAAAACCCCACCAAUUCCAGGCACAGUAUCUAGUAAACCUGUUAGAAACCCACGAGGCAAAAUGCUUCUGCGUUCAGAGACUUCAAGUAGUUGAAAUCCCAUUUGAUGGCUUAAUAGCUGGGUGUCUUUGGACAAGUUAAUUAACCUUUCUCUGUAUUGGUUUUCUCGCAGGCAUGUUGACAGGAAUAAAUGAGAUAAUCUGUGUUAAACUAAUCAGUGCAGUGGUCUGCACGUUGUAAAAACGCUAUGAACAUUGGCUGUUGUUAGUAACAUGCAUUUAAGCAAACCUUAAGGCCUCAGCCU
rnacentral:lncRNA from 10 species